UUCCGAACAACCAACAAACCACCACUUACUACUACUCUCACUCAAACCACUAACGACGUCGUUUGCAGUCUCCACUGCCCUACUAGUACUCGGUGGUUCAUCUUCCACAACACGACUGCUGCUGCUGUUCGGCUUUGAACGCACAACCGCAUCCUGUGUGUUUGCAGUAGUAGUGUUACGACUUGAAACCCUAGGGCUUUUGGGAGGUUCCGAUCGUUUGAAGCUUGGAGUGUCGAAUAUGAUGUUGAUUGCAGCAGUUGCGUCAUUGUUCGCCAUGUGAAGAGCUCUGACUACAUCCAUUUUUGAGUAAUCUGGACCUACGAUCGAUUGAACUGUUGCGAUCAGUUCAUCGGUGAUUUUGUUCCCCAUUUACAGUGAAUAGGGAAAUUUUUCUAAACCCUAACCCUAAUUGAAAUGAAAUUAAGCUAAUGGAUUAUGAGUUCUUGUGAAGCGAUUGAGAAUCUGACAUAAGAAGAACAGGGUUUUAGGGUUUGAUAAACCCAGGUGAGGUGGAUCUUCUGGUGAAUGAAAAUGGCGCUUUAUCUUCUGUUUGUUGAAUUGAAUCAAGUGAGAUGUAAUGUAAGAAAGAUAUGGUCUUGACCACUUUGGAGUAUGUGCAUCUAGGGAUAGCUUGGUACCGAAAGUACCCGUAUCUAAAAUCACUAAUUAAAAUACUGGUACCGAAAAUGUUAGAUAUAUUACGGUAGCUAUAUUUGUGUGUAAAAUUCGGUAAAAUACUGGUACCAUACCGAAAAUACCGGUGCCGGAAACUCCAAAAAAUGGAUAUCGAAUUGGUGCCGAAAAAAAAUUGGUACCUGUACUAAGUCCCAUAUACUCAUCCUGUAAGGCUCCGCAUUAUCUAUACUUGCCAUAUUUAAAACGUUGUAUUCACAUUUCUAUAUAACAUUGUAAUUCGUAUUUUGUUUU
rnacentral:lncRNA from 1 species